AAGACUAUACUUUCAGGGAUUAUUUUUAUAGUGAAUUGCCAGAGAAGUGUUUCUCAAUUUGUAGGGUACUCAUGGAAACCGUGCUCAUGAGUUGUAGUGUUCUCUCCUGAGCAUAAGCCUGGCUUCUGGUGUUCUCUGGUGGCAACUGACACGUCUCUGUGACUGUUCUCCUUUUUCUUUGGGGAAAGUGAGAAGGCAAGAACAUGAU